rnacentral:lncRNA from 1 species
GAAUAGAGUAGCUGCAUCUCCUGAUCACUGCUCUCCCACACGAGCUGUAUUUGCAUCCAGAGCAGCCUCCAAGAGCCACACAAACAACAUUCAGCUACUGUAUGCAUCUUUGAAAAUAGUUGUGGGCCUGAUUCCAAAGCUGGCCUCUGCAGCCAAGAUUCCUGUUAAUACCCUGUCUCAGACACUUCAGACAGAAAAUAGAUUAAUACUCAAGUAGGAAAUCAAGCCUUUCCAAUAUGUCUCUGUGGAUCUCAAGUCCAGAUGGUGACCAGAGUCUCGGUUGCAAGUAUGCUUACAAGGAUAUGAAGACAUUGCUGGAUCAGGAUACUACAGACAGAAAAACAUGAAACAACCCAGAUAUACUUUUAAGGACACCCUUGUGCAUUGAAUUGAAGCCUCACAAUACUCACAAGAUUUGCAAUCCGACCUCUUACCUUUUCUUCUCCCCUUCUAUUGUUGUGAGCUGAAACAAAAGCCAUAAUACAAAAGGUUAAAAAAGAAAUCGAAUAACAAGUGAAGUCAUAAAUUGACAAAAAGAAUCAAG